rnacentral:rRNA from 1 species
GUCUACGGCCAUGCCACCCUGAACAAGCCCGAUGUCUGAUCUCGAAAGCUAAGCAGGGUCGGGCCUGGUUAGUACUUGGAUGGGAGACCACCUAGGAAGACUGGGUGCUGUAGGCA